rnacentral:misc_RNA from 1 species
GAAAUGUGCCGCUUAUAAUUGAUUUUUAUGCAACAUGGUGUGGUCCCUGCAUUCUAAUGGCUCAAGAACUUGAAAUGCUCGCUGUAGAGUACGAGAACAAUGCAAUGAUCAUCAAGGUCGAUACAGAUGACGAAUAUGAAUUUUCACGUGAUAUGCAGGUUAGAGGACUGCCUACACUUUUCUUCAUUAGCCCGGAUCCAAAUAAAG